rnacentral:rRNA from 1 species
GACAGAGGUGCCAAGCGUUAGGCGGAAUCACUGGGCUUAAAGCGUGUGUAGGCGGAAUGGUAAGUACCUUGUGAAAUCCCACGGCUCAACCGUGGAACUGCUUGGUAUACUGCUUUUCUUGAGCCACUUAGGGGCUGUCGGAACAAACGGUGGAGCGGUGAAAUGCGUAGAUAUGCGGAGGAACACCGAUGGCGAAGGCAAUCCCCUGGGCCUGCACUGACGCUCAUGCACGAAAGCGUGGGGAGCAAACAGG